UCACUGGAAUGAAGUCUCUUUCCUCCAAAUUCCUUUUCAGGGAACUCUUGUUCACACCUGUGUAUCAGUUAAGAUUGUAUUUAGCAGCAGAGGAAGAUUAAUAUGGAAGGGGAUUGGAAUGAGUGUUCACUAAGCCAAACCAUGGUUCUGCCACAGUAUGCAUAGAGGAAAUGUGAGUGGUCCAGAGUAAACAGAAGACGCAAAAAGCGACUGGAAAUGGGGCUGGUAGAUGGGAACUGAAUUGUCAGUGCCGCCCUGCUACAGGUUUGGUUAAAACCACUUCUAGAAAGCCAGGCCCUGGAAGCUACAGGAAGGCUGUCAGUCCAUUAACUAUGACCCUGGGUUUGGUUAGUGGCAAAAAGUGCUAGGCUGAGACCUUUUCCAAAUGUGGGAGCCUAAGGAUGAAG